GCAGUGGUGGUUCAGUGGGAGAGCUCUGGCCUUUCAUGCAGGAGGCCCUGGUUCGAUUCCUGGCCAAUGCA